GGAAUGCUCGAGCGCUUGCUGCAAAGACUGCGGCGUUUCGCGCGAAGCUGCUGCUUGGCUGUGUGGUGGUGUGUAUGCGAGAGAUUGGGAAAAGCAAAAAGGAAGAGAAGGUGGGCUGCUGCGUGUGGCGCGAAGGCGGCAGCGCGUUGCGUGGAGAGCCGCUCGCGCCGAGUGGCGCUGCGAGCGCUUGUCUGUCUGUAUCUGCGCCGGCGCAAAGGAGAGGCGUCUGCUGCGUCGGCCCUCUCAAGGUGGAUCGGGUCGACUUCAGCUGUUGCGUGCGCAGCAUGUUCUGUACCGCACACGUUUCUACAGUUUUUUUUCUUUUCUGCUCGUCAUUCCGUUCCUUCAACUCGCUGACGCCGAACCAGUUUUCGACCGUGAGGGAAGAAUGUUUUCUCUGCUCUUAAAACGGUUGGACUCAACGGUAACUGGUUCCACACAUGCUUCGGGACUGUACGCAACAAUACCCCGACACUAACCCCACGACCCUCUCGUCGAGAUGGCACGCUGCCCUGCGUAGCCCCAACCUUGACGACCAACUCUGGGCGACCCAGAAAGCCUGCGAGGCGGCGAAGAGGCAACACCUCGACGUCUCCAUGUGGGAGGCCUAGGCCCAGCCACCACCUCUUGCUGGUUUCAAUAAAAUUUAUUCAGUCAGUCAA